AGCCGCACCACCUGCAGCUUGCACCAGGUAAUCCAUCGGAAGCUCAGCAAGCUUGGCUCUGGGCAGCCCUUGGAUGGGAAACCAACAAGGAGAGCUGAGGUGUUGUUA
rnacentral:rRNA from 1 species